rnacentral:lncRNA from 1 species
AGGCAGAGGGUGGCGGACGGGGGAGGGCGAGGAGAGGCCGUGACACUUCUGCCCUGUCCUGGAGUGCAGACUGCCGCCGCCCCCUUCGCUCCCACGUGGCAGGUCCAGACAGCCCGGCGCGGACAGGGGGCGGGGCCGCAGAACCCCUCCCUUUGCUCUCAGGCCCUUCCUCAGGCCUGCACGGCGCCAGCUCAGUCCUCCACCGCCAGGGGGCGGGCGCGGCUUGCCAGCGGCGGGGGCCCAUUGGUUGCGCCGGGGAAGUGGGGGAGGCGGCCCAGCGGCGAGCUGGCUUCCUCCUGGCCACUCGCAGGGGUGAGGGGAAGCCGGAGGAACCCGGGAGGAAGCCGAGGAGCGAGCGGGAGGCGGCGGCAGCGGCUCCCGUCGGCCUUCUGCAAGACUGACCGUAGGGAGGCCGGAAAGCGGGCGCGCGCGGCGGACAGGCGGGCGGGAGGCCGUGUUUCCAGGUUUAUCCACUGCUCUUGUCUCCCUCACUCUCACAGGAGACGCGGCCCAGAGUCUAGCUGAUUUCCAUUGUUAAGAAAAGAAAGAAGAUUCUUGUCUUGUGAGUUUUACCUUUGGGCUCUUGUGGCCUAGAUCUGACUCACUCCCCAGCCCUACUCUAGACUUCGCUGUGUGUUUGGAUUGAUGUACUGUUGGGCUGAAGUACUCACAUCUGAGCUUGACUGAGGGUCACCUGGGGAGUUUAUUAACCAUGCAGGAGUUUUAAUCCUCUCUCCAAGAAAUUCCAGGCUCAGGAAUUUGCCUUGUAUUGGGUUGGCCAAAAAGUUCAUUUGGGCUUUUUCGUAAGAUGUUACAGAAAAACCCUGAUGAACUUUUUGAUCAACCCAAUAAAAGGCCUACCAGUAAUUGAUGUUGUUGUUUAGUCGCUAAGUUGUGUCUGGCUCUUUGUGACCCCAUGGACUUCAGCCCACCAGGCUCCUCGGUCCAUGGGGAUUUUCCAGGCAAGAAUACUGGAGUGGGUUGCCAUUUCCUUCUCCAGGGGAUCUUCCCAACCCAGGGAUUGAACCCAGGUCUCCUGCAUUGGCAGGUGAAUUCUUCCCUGCUGAGCCACCAGGGAAGCCCUGUGUGCGCGUGAUGUGGGCUAUUUUAUAGUUAGGGCUUCAAAGAACCAGAUAUGGGAUUUCAUUGAAUCUAAGCUGUUUGUAAGGUACACCAUUAUUUUACACACUACUAAGAGGAAGAAAUGUGGUUGUAAACCUCAUCCUGAUUUAAGACUUGUUAAAAGAAAGGAGAUAGUGUGCUUCUUAGAAUCAGUAAAGUAGAAUGUCAGGUACCUGAGACACCACAAGCCCCUCUUGUUACAGUGAAGGGUUAUAAUGAAGCCAUGGGUAAAAAGAAUUAUAAUGUAACAGUCCUUUAGGCCUUAUACUUUGUAAAAUUUGUUUAUAAUAGAGUUUAACAUAGGAUGCCUGUACUUGACCUGUGUUUGUAAUGAAGAUUACACUGAUGCCUUUGUUUUAAAAUGCAGUGUAACUGUAUCAGAGUGUAAUGCACUCUAGUUUGGCCCCAUGUUAUUUUCAGCGUACCCAUUUCCAGUCUUUUAUGUGUGGGUGUUGCAGAUCAGUUCAGAAAUCUUAUUUUUAAGCUUCUGUGUACUUUAGUGAUUUCCAUUUUGUGUAGUCCAUUAAAAUUUGUACUUUAUGCUACAGUGACAUUGGUGUGGCUUGCUCAUUUGAGUUCUUUUUUGUCACCCUUUCUUCUGUUAGAGAGUUCAUAACCCCUGAUGCCAGCUAGCCAGUUACAUGCAUAUACAUCAGCCACCUGUGUUGAGUAGUUUUAGGAUUUUGUGGUAGUAAUCCGUGUCAGCACCAAGUUUGGUGUUGACUUAAAAAAAGUCACACGCUAAAAGUUGAGAGUUAUGUUUUACUUGAUGGAAUUUUUAGGACUUUAAGCCCAGGAGACAGCAUCUCAAAUGACCCUGUGAGAACUGCUUUCAUGAGGGGAGGCAGGGGACAGGUUAUAUAGAAGUUUCGUAACAAGGGACAGGUAGUCCGAACAGCAAAAGAUUAUUGUUAAUUAAAGGAAGCCAGAUAACUCAAGGAAUUUAUUGCAAGAGUCUGGGCUCACUGAAAUCAUUCCUUUCAUAUGUAUCUCAGCUAUCUGGGUCCUGUAUCCUGUGUUUUCCACAUCUUGAACUUUCUUGGGACUCUCUGUAGGGAGUGGCUGUAGUUUGAUGGCUGCUAGAUCACAGGUAUUCUCUUUUCUGAGUGCCCUUAGGGCUUAGGAACUCACAGUGGAGGGCUGGAAUCUCCUUGAC